CCUACGGGCGGCAGCAGUGGGGAAUAUUGGACAAUGGGGGCAACCCUGAUCCAGCCAUGCCGCGUGUGUGAAGAAGGCCCUCGGGUUGUAAAGCACUUUCAGUGAGGAAGAACGCCUGGUGGUUAAUACCCAUCAGGAAAGACAUCACUCACAGAAGAAGCACCGGCUAACUCCGUGCCAGCAGCCGCGGUAAUACGGAGGGUGCGAGCGUUAAUCGGAAUUUCUGGGCGUAAAGCGCGCGUAGGUGGCUUGAUAAGCCGGUUGUGAAAGCCCCGGGCUCAACCUGGGAACGGCAUCCGGAACUGUCAAGCUAGAGUGCAGGAGAGGAAGGUAGAAUUCCCGGUGUAGCGGUGAAAUGCGUAGAGAUCGGGAGGAAUACCAGUGGCGAAGGCGGCCUUCUGGACUGACACUGAUACUGAGGUGCGAAAGCGUGGGUAGCAAACAGGAUUAGAUACCCCUGUAGUC
rnacentral:rRNA from 1 species